GUUUAUUUAAAUAUAUGUCGUUAUUCAUGUAUUGUAGUUUUUACAUUGAUUGUUUGGGAGAUCACAUGUUGUUUAUAAUCCCUGGAAUUUUUAAAGCAUGGGUAAUAUAUAUUUCGAUACUAACAGUAAGUAGCAAUGAUCUUUAUUAAUUUUCCAAGAAAUUAAUUAAUGAUACUCUUUUAGUUAAAAAAAAAUAAUACACGGAAAGAAAGAUUUGAAAUAUUUGUUGCUGUCGGUUAAGAUAUUUUUCUUCGCUGUUGGAUAAUACAGUUUACCUAACUGCAAGAGUAAAUGUUCUUCCCAACUGAAGUUUUAUGUCUAUUCCACGGCUAGAUAAGUUGUUUAGUAUAACUUCAAGGUUACAUACACUGCAGAGUUAUUUAUUUUGGCCUCACUGUAUAGGGUAACUAAUUAAUUUUAUUUGUUUAUUUAUUUAUAAAACAUAGUUUUUUUCCGGUGUAUUUUUUUUCAAUUUCAUGCACUUUCCUAUAUCUUACUUUUUAAAAUGCCUGCAAUUAAAAGGAGAUAACUGAGAUAUUACAGUAUAGUUAAACCCCGUCACAUCCUCAUGAAACUUUCCACCAUUGUAAACAUUUAGGAAUUUGUAACAAUGUGAUAUGAAGCCCUCCACAGCCUACUGUGACUGUCUUAAUUUAAAAAUAAAUUAAAGACAUGUGGAAAGCCAUUGCCAAUGGACUAACGGAUGAAGCUACAUGUAUGAAAGUUCUCUGUAUAACAAAAUGUAACCAAUUUAAGAGGAACAAAACAACGACGAAAAACCCCCCAUAUAACAGAUAGCAACCAAUUACAACCACUGAAUUACAGUUACUGAUUUGGGAUAGGCACAUACAUAAUGUGGUGUGGUUCAUCUCACGUUGGUAUACACGGUUUUAUAAACAAUUGAUAGAAACAUAUUAUAUUGUAUAAUAUUGUUAACCUAUCAAACUAAUUUCACACAAACUGUUUGUUUGCAUGAUGUGUAAAACACUAUAAUUGUGCUUCCGUCAUGUGUCAAUAGUUUUACAAACAAUUAUUAAGAUGUUUGUUGAAAACCAGAAUGACAGUUGUGCAUAAAUACGUGUGAUAUAAUUAUUCGUAGAAUUUCAAAGUAAACAUUCGAUCAGCCGGAAAAGAAAUGAAAAUAAAACAGCAUUACUCAAAUCCCAUGUGUUGUGUGAUGCAAUUUCAAUGAAAUAUUUUUACAUUAAAUCUAUACCAGUGUGUUCUUCAAUAACAGUAUACAUCAAUAUCUGCAUGUACUAAAGCUUAUUUUAAACAGGUACAUUUAUACUUUGCUUCAUAUACAAUAUAUACCAACAGUAUUACAUUAUUUAAAAAAUGUAUUUACAUCUUUGAAAUAUUUAGUAUUACAUUAUUGAAGGGAAGCUUGUCUACAAGUACACGUACAUACUGUGGCAUUGCAGUCUCGGAUUGUGGUCUCAUGGUUCACUGCUAAAUUUUAAUUUCUUUUCCUCAAAGAUCAACAUAGAAUAAAUGUCUCCGUAAACUUCUGCCCUCGACUGUUUUGUACUUAAAUUGUAACCAUACAUGUACGUGUACUUUACAUACACAACACCAAACUUCCAUGAUUCGGUAUAGUUACAUAUGAGGCAUACAUGACAUCAUUGUUAAAAUAUAUUUGUGAAAAAUGUUCUGACAUUUCAUUUUAUGCACUCAAACAGUUCUUUAAUUAAAAAUGUUUCUUUUUUUCAGAUUUGAAAUAGCUGUUUGAUUUUCUACGAGGACAUAUAAAAUUUGAAGCAUGAUGAAUACAACAUAUGAACCAGAGGAGCCGUAUAUCCCAGCAGUACUGUUUUCAUUUGCACAAUGGCUAACAACAUACUUGCAACCUAUUUUAUGCAUCUUUGGACUAAUUGGGAACUUUCUGUCCUUAAUAGUAUUCUGUUCAAAGAAAAUGAGACGCGUUUCAUCGAAUAUUUACCUAGCAGCCUUAUCAUUUUCCAGUUGUUUAUUUCUUAUAGCACUUUUACUAGUCUGGAUGGAGAUUUUUCACGUGAGAAUCGUGCACGAGAACGUGUGGUGUCACGGUAUAAUAUACACAACAUAUGUUUGUAGUUUCCUGAAUGGAUGGUUUGUAGUAUGUAUUACAUUUGAGAACUACAUUGUAACUUUUCAUUUGAAAAGGGCAACAGUAAUAUGCUCAGUUCAAAAAGCUAGACUAGUGGUUUUAUUGUUGGUACUUUUUGCGCUUGCUUUUUUUGAUUUUUCGAUUUGGACAACGACAGUGACUGAAUAUGCGGGUAGGCCUCUGUGUACACAAGCGGAAAAAUACUAUGAAGUCAUUAAUAUUUACACAUAUCUUGAUGCAGUGAUAACCCUCAUACUGCCUACGACAGUUCUAGCUGUUCUUAUUGGUGCAAUUAUUUUAAAAUACAUACGACAAAGUGCUUUACAUCGAUAUGGACAAGCCGAGCCUUUGAGGCACAAAGAUCGUUCAUUAAUGCACAUAACUCGAGUACUGUUAGCAGUAGGACUUUCAUACAUGGUACUUUUCAUGCCAAGUUACAUUAAUAAAAUCCGCUUUAUCAUUAUGUCCAAUGUGAUGGGAGAAUCAUACGUUACAUUGAAAGAUCAUAUCAUAAAUCAAAUUGUCUUAAUUGUGUCAUACAUGUCAUUUUGCUCAAAUUUUAUAUUUUAUGUAAAGUGGAGUAAAAACUUUAGAAAAGG
rnacentral:lncRNA from 1 species